rnacentral:misc_RNA from 1 species
CGCAAGCAACGGGAGGGGCGCGGGGAGGAGUAAUGUGGAAGUUGAUUUAGUGUUAGGGUUUCAGAAAUUGGGCAACAGUACUUAUGUAGAAAAGAGAUUGAAUGCUAAUUCAACUACAGGGUUUUAUUUGAAUGUAAGUAUAUAUUCAAGUCUAGGGAGAAUGAGGAAUGGAUCGGGUCAGAUUUUGCAGCUUAAGCUACCUGCAGCUCGUCCAAAUGGUUGGGAGAAUGUGAUUGCAGAUACCGGUAAUAAGUCGGUAUCGUUAUCGGAAAAUGAGGCAACGAGUUCCAAUUCUAAUAUGUUACGAGCUGGUAUCAACAGUAAGAGUAGAAGACCAGCAUCAAUCUCCUACAUGAACUCUUUAGUGCAGCAGAAUUCUAGUAUUAG